AUAGUAAUUCAACUUAGUACGAGAGGAACCGUUGAUUCGCGUAAUUGGUAUUUGCGGCUGUCCGAUCGGGCAAUGCCGCGAAGCUACCACGCGUUGGAUUAUGGCUGAACGCCUCUAAGUCAGAAUCCAUGCCAGAACGCGGUGAUACCACCCGCACGUAUAGACGGACAAGAAUAGGCU
rnacentral:rRNA from 1 species